GCCAACGUUCAUAUCUCAUUGAGUAUACCAGUUCUCGUCCGAUCACUGAAGUCAAGCAAUGAUGAGCGCGGUCAGUACUUGGAUGGGUGACCGCUUGGGAACACCGCGUAGCGUUGGCU
rnacentral:rRNA from 1 species